GUCUACAACCAUGCCACCUUGAAUGUGCCCGAUCUCGUCAGAUCUUGGAAGCUAAGCAAGGUUGGGCCUGGUUAGUACUUUGGAUGGGAGACCUCCUAGGAAUACCAGGUGUUGUAGGCA
rfam:Pteropus alecto contig94990, whole genome shotgun sequence.